AAUGAACGUUGGCGGCGUGGAUUAGGCAUGCAAGUCGAGCGCUCAUAGCAAUAUGGGAGCGGCGAACGGCGUAGUAAUAUGUAGGAACGUACCCUCGGGUCGGGGAUAGCCAUGGGAAACUGUGGGUAAUACCCGAUAAUCUCUGCGGAGCAAAGGUGUGAUUCCGCCUGAGGAGCGGCCUACACGAUAUUAGCUAGUUGGUAGGGUAAUGGCCUACCAAGGCUACGAUGUCUAGGGGGUGUGAGAGCAUGGCCCCCACGACCGGAACUGAGAUACUGUCCGGACACCUACGGGUGGCUGCAGUCGAGAAUCUUCCGCAAUGGACGAAAGUCUGACGGAGCGACGCCGCGUGCGGGAUGAAGGCCCUUGGGUUGUAAACCGCUGUCAGAGGGGAUGAAAUCUUCGGAGGUACUCCUCCGAAGUUGACAGAGCCUCAAAGGAAGCACGGGCUAAGUACGUGCCAGCAGCCGCGGUAAAGUCAC
rnacentral:rRNA from 1 species